GCGGGGCGUGGCCAGGACUUGCAAACUGACUCGAGGAGAUCCUUAGUUCCAGAGCCACAACUGACCUGCACCUGACAGUUCUUGGGGACCUGGAGACCGUUGACCAGGCUGAGGGCUGACACAGAGCACCUCGGAAGUGAGAAGGCAGGCUUCCCAGUACCAGAGAGGAAUGGACGUGGCGUGCAGAAGCGGGAGGGAAUAAAAGCCACCUGGGUAGGGAAGUCCUCUGACCAACAGCCCAUCCUUUUGCAGUGCCCUGUUCCAGGGUCAUGUGGCCACCGCUGCUGCUGCUGUUUCUGCUGCUUCCUGCUGCCCAUGGCGCCCCCCACCCGGCUGCGGACCUCCAGGAAAACUUUCCAAGCGUACUCGAAGGUUUCCACCGCCCUGUAGUGGGUUGGUGGGUUUGGGAAGAGAGGAGUUUGGGGACCUGCAGAAAGGGAAAGAGGCAGCGGUAAGCAGAGACCAAUAGGAAGAAAGAAUAUUGGCGAGGAUGCAGAGAAUUGGGUGGAAAUCCAAACUGAAGGAGACAGAGGCAUGUGGAGAGAAGACAACCCGUUCGCUGGCUCCCGCUGUCCUCCUGGCUCAUGAGGUGGCUUCUAUGUGGUCCAGAAGCUGGGGGCGAGGACCUGUAGCCUCAUGAAGGCCUGCCAGGCACAGGAUCCGGAGCUCCACACUCCUCCCAAAAUCCCUGGUCUCCUCCGGGGGCCCUUCAGCUGCUGAAGGGGCUGGGGUGGACACCAUUAUCCUAGCAGGGGACAUAUGUGGAACUCACCAGACCCACCUGCAGCACCAUUUCAAAAUAAAAGUAAAAUUUCAAGCUUAUUG
rnacentral:lncRNA from 1 species